rnacentral:rRNA from 1 species
GACAGAGGAUGCAAGUGUUAUCCGGAAUCACUGGGCGUAAAGCGUCUGUAGGUGGUUUAAUAAGUCAACUGUUAGAUCUUGAGGCUCAACCUCAAAAUCGCAGUCGAAACUAUUAGGCUAGAGUAUAGUAGGGGUAAAGGGAAUUUCCAGUGGAGCGGUGAAAUGCGUAGAGAUUGGAAAGAACACCGAUGGCGAAGGCACUUUACUGGGCUAUUACUAACACUCAGAGACGAAAGCUAGGGUAGCAAAUGGG